rnacentral:rRNA from 1 species
UACGGGGGGGGCAAGCGUUGUUCGGAAUUACUGGGCGUAAAGGGCUCGUAGGCGGCCAACUAAGUCAGACGUGAAAUCCCUCGGCUCAACCGGGGAACUGCGUCUGAUACUGGAUGGCUUGAAUCCGGAAGAGGGAUGCGGAAUUCCAGGUGUAGCGGUGAAAUGCGUAGAUAUCAUCAGGAACACCGGUGGCGAAAGCGGCUUACUGGGUCUCUUCUGACGCUGAGGAACGAAAGCUAGGGUAGCGAACGGG